rnacentral:rRNA from 1 species
AUUUUGGUCAAUGGAGGCAACUCUGAACCAGCCAUGCCGCGUGCAGGAUGACGGUCCUAUGGAUUGUAAACUGCUUUUGUACAGGAAGAAAAGGUAUCUCCUAAUACGAGAUACUGCUGACGGUAUCUGCAGAAUAAGCACCGGCCAACUACGUGCCAGCAGCCGCGGUAAUACGUAGGGUGCAAGCGUUAAUCGGAAUUACUGGGCGUAAAGCGUGCGCAGGCGGUUCGGAAAGAAAGAUGUGAAAUCCCGGGGCUCAACCUCGGAACUGCAUUUUUAACUACCGGACUAGAGUAUGUCAGAGGGGGGUAGAAUUCCACGUGUAGCAGUGAAAUGCGUAGAGAUGUGGAGGAAUACCGAUGGCGAAGGCAGCCCCCUGGGAUAAUACUGACGCUGAGGUGCGAAAGCGUGGGGAGCAAACAG